rnacentral:rRNA from 1 species
GACAGAGGCCCCGAGCGUUAGGCGGAAUCACUGGGCUUAAAGCGUGUGUAGGCGGAUCGUUAAGUGUCUUGUGAAAUCCCACGGCUCACCCGUGGAACUGCUGGGCAUACUGGCGAUCUUGGGCCGUUCAGGGGCGACUGGAACAAGCGGUGGAGCGGUGAAAUGCGUAGAAAUCGCUUGGAACGCCGAAGGUGAAAACAGGUCGCUGGGGACGCGCCGACGCUGAGACACGAAAGCCAGGGGAGCAGACGGG